UAUGAGGAUCUUUGUCACGACAGUGGAUUUAUCUGGUUUUGAAUCUAUCGUCUAAGGUAUUUGUCUUUCGCAUGUUAGCCACCUGAUGAACCCUAGAGUUGCCCUUAUCAAUGAAUCCAUCCUUAGGACUUCUAAUCUUCUUAGAUU
rnacentral:sRNA from 1 species